GGCUCCCUACGGGCACGUGAGCAGCAUAGACGAGCCGCCAUGAUGGGAAGGGAAAGGAAGGGGUCAGUGCCGGCAGCAACCCUUACCUCCAUCUUGAGAUGGUCAGAGUAACAGAUGACUAGGAAUGGCUGAGCACGCAAUUCUAUGGAGACGGGGAAUUAGUUCUUCUCUGCCCUGCCCCCUCACCAUCAUUGCUCUUGUAGAGAUACUGCAUGUUAGUACACAAGAUCCAUGAAUAUGUGUGUGCGAGAGAUGGAAAUGAGGCAGAGGGCUGACUCACUCUGCAGCGCAGAGCUUCAAUGCAAAAUCAGAACAAGGCGAUCCGUUCCAUUUCACCAGAGCUUAUCUGCAGACCCAAACCAUUUUUUCCUUAAUUAGAUGCUGCAAACGCUGGCAUUUCACGUCCCCCCACACCCACCACCACUGCAAGGAGACCCAUAAAAGUAUUGCCUUGGCAAGGUGGGGGGCGAUGCUCUCCAAUCCAAUUUGUGAAGCUCGUAAAGGGUCUGAGGAGGGCUGAAUGAGUCACGAAGAAGUUCUCAAUGGCCCGAAUCACUAGAGACUGUCUGCUGAUGUAAUUGCAGGGAUGCCUCAACCUACUUCAUCCUUACUAGGAUGCACCAACACGGCUCUCAAGAAAAAAAUACCCAGGCUUAUUCCGAGCUCCUGUGUUUUACUACUCUGUAUUUCUGCACAUGGUCCCUUAUGUGGUUUUGCCUCCUCUGCACUCAAACAAUACAUCAGAAUCUCAAAA